rnacentral:tRNA from 1 species
UCAAAAAAGAGGGAUUUUAACCCCCUCCCCUAACUCCCAAAGCUAGGAUCCUAAAUAGACUAUUCUUUG